ensembl:lncRNA
GGUUGAAGUGUUUUUAUGAGAGCUAAUUAGUUGUUCCAACCAGCUCUAUGAGGUAGGUCAGUAUUUUUAUCAUCCCUGUUUUGGAAAUUACAUUAAAUCGGUGCAUGCAUCAUUAAAAAAAUCUUAAACUUCUAGAGAUUUGGAAGCAUUCUGUGACUGGAGACGAUGCUCAGGCAGCGAUCACACCUAACACAAAGUUCUAAUGGCAGGGCAGCGGAGAGCGGAUCGCCCUUGUGCUUCCCAGUGUAGCCAGUGAAAGUCAAGUCUUUUUAUUUUUACUGGUUUCGAUGCUUGCACACAAACAAUGUGGCAGUUAAUGUGUUAGGUUCUUUUGUAUAUCAGUCAGGGUGCAUUUGAGAAAAUCAAGCUCCUUCUAGAUAUUUCAAACAAGUUUGAUACAAAAAAAUUGGUUACGCAUGUUUUGAAUGGAUUAUAAGAACAAAUGGAAGGAUUAGGUGCUGGGAGAGCAAUGAAAAAUAAGCGGUGAUACCAAGAAACCAGUAACUUCAGGAAUCUGUCCUGCUUCCAGCUCUGGGGGAACAAGAGUGGGGAGAUCUAGUUCGUAAAGUCUUAGAGCACCAUUGCUGCUGGGCUGGAACCACGCAGAGGAGCCCCACGUCAGGAGCUAGAAUCACAGGGGGAGGCACCCACCUCCAGAGCCGCUGCCAAAGCAGGAAGGAACAGCUUCUCCUCUGCUCCCACCCUCUGAUCUUGCACCAGUGCUUCCUAUGGGUAGAAACUCAUAGGAAGUCAGCAGCGAGGGAGCCUGGCCAUGUGGGUUGCAAGUUUCUAGCUCUAGCUUUACGCAGCUAAAUGGAGAAGGGUGGCUGCAGGGCUGAGAGAGAGCGGGUAACUAACUGGCUCUCUUGUAAAUUCUCUGAUUUUUCCUGGAGGCUCAGGGAGAUUUAGGAGAUUGCUGCAGGCCUUUACACUAGCAAGUGGUGGAGCUGCUCUUCAAGCCCAGGUUUCCCAGCUCCAAGGCUAAGUGUGUUCCAGGCGCCACCCUUGAUCUCUCGCAAUCUUAGCGUGCUCACCUUCCCAACGAGGCUCCGGUGUCGGUGGUAAGAAUGUUCAUCUCUUUCUAUCUUCAAGGUGGAAUGAGGAUUAAACCAGGUCCUUCAUGAAGAAGUGCAUCAUCGCUCAUUUCAUACACCUGGAAAGAGGGUGAAUCCUGACAGCCGAGUUCAUAGUGCAUGGCGUCUCCUUCUUUUCAUGGCUGCUUGGGAAACAGGUGAACUUAAGCAGGAUGGAGCAAAUCGUCACUCCCAGAAAUGUGGAAUUGGAAUGAAUGGAUACCAGUUAGUCAGUUUUAUGGAUCCUUUGAAGUGAGGACAGUCAAACUCUGGGGACGUGGCUCCCGUGUUUGGACAUAAAAACAUGAAGCAGAAAUUAGAGAAGAAAAGAGCAAGGACAAAGCAAGCCGAGGGAUGAGAAACCGCGCGGUGCUGGAGGAACAGAGCUAGGCAGGCAGCGAGAGCGGCCGCCUGGUUUCUUAACUGCUUUUUACUUGCCGUCUCCAGACACACAAGCAGCCCAGCCCCCACUUUAAUUCCUGCCCUGGAUCCAAUGAGACACUCUGGGAGUCUUUCCAAUAAAUUCCUGUUUUUACUUAAGUUAA